rnacentral:rRNA from 1 species
AGAGUUUGAUCCUGGCUCAGGAUGAACGCUGGCGGUAUGCUUAACACAUGCAAGUCGAACGGUCUUUUCGGAGAUAGUGGCGGACGGGUGAGUAACGCGUGAGAAUCUGUCAUUUGGUUUGGGACAACAUUGGGAAACCGAUGCUAAUACCGGAUGUGCCGAGAGGUGAAAGAGAAAUUGCCAGAUGGUGAGCUCGCGUCAGAUUAGCUAGUUGGUGGGGUAAUAGCCUACCAAGGCGACGAUCUGUAGCUGGUCUGAGAGGACGAUCAGCCACACUGGAACUGAGACACGGUCCAGACUCCUACGGGAGGCAGCAGUGGGGAAUUUUCCGCAAUGGGCGAAAGCCUGACGGAGCAAUACCGCGUGAGGGAGGAAGGCUCUUGGGUCGUAAACCUCUUUUCUCUAGGAAGAUAAUGACGGUACUAGAGGAAUAAGCAUCGGCUAACUCCGUGCCAGCAGCCGCGGUAAUACGGAGGAUGCAAGCGUUAUCCGGAAUGAUUGGGCGUAAAGCGUCCGCAGGUGGUUAUGUAAGUCUGCGGUUAAAGAGUGGGGCUUAACUCCAUAAAGGCCGUGGAAACUACAAGACUAGAGUAGGUUAGGGGCAGAGGGAAUUCCCAGUGUAGCGGUGAAAUGCGUAGAGAUUGGGAAGAACACCGGUGGCGAAAGCGCUCUGCUAGGACAAUACUGACACUGAGGGACGAAAGCUAGGGGAGCGAAUGGGAUUAGAUACCCCAGUAGUCCUAGCCGUAAACGAUGGAUGCUAGGCGUUGAGAGUAUCGACCCUCUCAGUGCCGUAGCUAACGCGUUAAGUAUCCCGCCUGGGGAGUACGCACGCAAGUGUGAAACUCAAAGGAAUUGACGGGGGCCCGCACAAGCGGUGGAGUAUGUGGUUUAAUUCGAUGCAACGCGAAGAACCUUACCAGGGCUUGACAUGUCCAGGAGUCCGGCGAAAGUUGGAUGUGCCUUAGGGAACUGGAACACAGGUGGUGCAUGGCUGUCGUCAGCUCGUGUCGUGAGAUGUUGGGUUAAGUCCCGCAACGAGCGCAACCCUCGUACUUAGUUGCCAGCAUUAGGUUGGGCACUCUAGGGAGACUGCCGGUGACAAACCGGAGGAAGGUGGGGAUGACGUCAAGUCAGCAUGCCCCUUACGUCCUGGGCUACACACGUACUACAAUGCUACGAACAAAGGGCAGCUACACAGCGAUGUGAUGCAAAUCUCAGAAAUCGUGGCUCAGUUCAGAUUGCAGGCUGCAACUCGCCUGCAUGAAGUCGGAAUCGCUAGUAAUUGCAGGUCAGCAUACUGCAGUGAAUUCGUUCCCGGGCCUUGUACACACCGCCCGUCACACCAUGGAAGCUGGUCACGCCCGAAGUAGUUACCCUAACCAUGAAUUUGGGGGGGGACUCCUAAGGUAGGGCUGGUGACUGGGGUGAAGUCGUAACAAGGUAGCCGUACCGGAAGGUGUGGCUGGAUCACCUCCUUUAUAGGGAGACCGAAACCCUUAGGGACAGAAACGGGAGGAAGUAUUUAUACUUGUUCAAGGAAUAAGAAACUAAGAGGUCAUUCCCAAGGUCGAUACAAUUACCAGGUAAGGCUUUCAAACUAUAUAUUUAGGUUCGAGAAAUGGGCUAUUAGCUCAGGUGGUUAGAGCGCACCCCUGAUAAGGGUGAGGUCCCUGGUUCGAGUCCAGGAUGGCCCACCUGAAAAAUAAAAAGAGCCAAAUUAAAAAGAGAAAUUGUUUCUUUUUGGUUUUUUCUUUUGAAAUUUCGCCUUGUUGAUGGGGGUUUAGCUCAGUUGGUAGAGCGCCUGCUUUGCAAGCAGGAUGUCAGCGGUUCGAGUCCGCUAACCUCCACCUUAUUAGAGAAUUUAAAUUCAGCACCUACAUCUAGAGAUUUGAGUAGAGAGAAGUAGACUGCUGGGUUUACCCAGUAAAAGAACCUUGAAAACUGCAUAGUGGCAAAAGAAGUAGCAAUUGAAAGUUCGAGAGAACAAGAGAUUGUGAAAGGCAGUUCGUAGUGUAGCAGCUACGGAUAAAAGCACCAAUAUUAGGAUUGAAGAGAAGAAUAUUGAGUGGUCAAGCGAAUAAAGGCUGACGGUGGAUACCUAGGCACACAGAGGCGAAGA